rnacentral:rRNA from 1 species
AGUGAACGCUGGCGGUAGGCCUAACACAUGCAAGUCGAACGGCCGCACAGUAAGAGCGUGCUCUUAAGGUUGGCGGCGGACGGGUGGGUAAGACAUAGAUCGCAUUCCUAUUUUACGGGGGGAACAACGUGGGAAAGCUUCCGAUAAUACCUAAUAUAUCUAACGGGUGAAUGCAGUGGUUAUAGGCAGUUUUGCCGUUUCAUAUAGCUGAAUUCGGAUUAGCUUGUUGGGGGGGUAAAGUCCCACCAAGGCGACGAUCCGUAGCUGGGCUGAGAGGAUGAUCAGCCACACUGGAACUGAGACACGGUCCAGACUCCUACGGGAGGCAGCAGUGGGGAAUAUUGGACAAUGGGCGCAAGCCUGAUCCAGCCAUACCGCGUGGGUGAAGAAGGCCUUCGGGUUGUAAAGCCCUUUUGUUGGGAAAGAAAAGCAGCAGGUUAAUACCCCGCUGUUCUGACGGUACCCAAAGAAUAAGCACCGGCUAACUUCGUG